rnacentral:rRNA from 1 species
GACGAACGCUGGCGGCGUGCUUAACACAUGCAAGUCGAACGGAAAGGCCCUGCUUUUGUGGGGUGCUCGAGUGGCGAACGGGUGAGUAACACGUGAGUAACCUGCCCUUGACUUUGGGAUAACUUCAGGCAACUGGGGCUACUACCGGCUAGGAGCUCCUGCUGCAUGGUGGGGGUUGGAAAGUUUCGGCGGUUGGGGAUGGACUCGCGGCUUAUCAGCUUGUUGGUGGGGUAGUGGCUUACCAAGGCUUUGACGGGUAGCCGGCCUGAGAGGGUGACCGGCGACAAUGGGACUGAGAGACGGCCCAGACGCCUACGGGAGGCAGCAGGGGGGAAUAUUGCACAAUGGGCGGAAGCCUGAUGCAGCAACGCCGCGUGCGGGAUGACGGCCUUCGGGGUGUAAACCGCUUUAGCCUGUGACGAAGCGUGAGUGACGGUAAUGGGUAAAGAAGCACCGGCUAACUACGUG